UGGGAGAGAAAAGGAGGCUGGGGCAGCCCAGCUCCACUGUGGGCCACACAGGGCUGUGUCCACCAUGGCCUGGACCCCUCUCCUCCUCAUGCUCCUCUCUCACUGCACAGGUUCCCUCUCCCAGCCUGUGGUGACCCAGCCACCCUCCCUCUCUGCAUCUCUGGGAUCCUCUGUGAGACUCACCUGCACCCUCAGCAGUGGCCUCAGUGUUGGUGGCUACUACAUAAACUGGUACCAGCAGAAGCCAGGGAGCCCUCCCCGGUAUCUCCUGUACUACUACUCAGACUCAAACAAGCACCAGGGCUCCGGGGUCCCCAGCCGCUUCUCUGGAUCCAAAGACACCUCGGCCAAUGCUGGCCUUCUGCUCAUCUCUGGGCUCCAGGCUGAAGAUGAGGCUGACUAUUACUGUUUGAUCUGGCACAGCAGUGCUGCUCACAGUGACACAGGCCAAUGGGGAAGUUGA